rnacentral:sRNA from 1 species
GGUAGCAGAAACCUGACUGCAACCAAGUUCAAAUUAUAUGGAAUAACUUUCACCAAUCCACUGGUGUUUAUAUCAGCCAGGGAUUUAGUUAUAGGUGAAUACAUUUGUAAUGUACCUUUGUGAACAAUUGGAUAUUCAUAUUUUUGGUGGUAAUGGUGAGUACUUCUUUAUAAAAAUUAUAGUUUACAGUAUUACCUUUAUAGAUCAUGAAGUAAUAAACUGACCAUUAAAAUGCUUUUCCAGUUUUCACUUCAGGCUUGAAAUUAGAAAAAAAAAAAGACAUUAAGUAAUUGAAGACUGAGAAGCAAUUAAUUUGUGGAUAGGAAAAAAUAGUCAAGUCUGCUACUUUAGAGAAAGAGCCAGGUAUAAUGAAACAGAUGUGUAAGAAGUUAUAAAAUAAUGUCUGCAACUAAAAGUUAUAGUGAAUUUACAUGGAACCUACAUAUACUUAAGAGGUAUUCAUAAAAGAUCAUCUA